rnacentral:rRNA from 1 species
UAGGGAAUAUUAGUAAUGGGCGAAAGCCUGACCCAGCAAUGCCGCGUGCAGGACGAAGUCCUUCGGGAUGUAAACUGCUGUCAGGGGUCCGCAAGCGAAGGGGUCCAACAGGCCCUGGAGUUGAGCAGCCCCAGAGGAAGCCUCGACUAACUCUGUGCCAGCAGUCGCGGUAAGACAGAGGAGGCAAGCGUUGUUCGGAAUCACUGGGCUUAAAGCGCGUGUAGGCGGCUUAGAAAGUGUCGUGUGAAAUCCCGCGGCUCAACCGCGGAACUGCACGGCAAACUACUUGGCUUGAGGUCGGUAGAGGUGCCUGGAACUCUAGGUGGAGCGGUGAAAUGCGUAGAUAUCUAGAGGAACGCCAGAAGCGAAAGCGGGGCACUGGGCCGAUUCUGACGCUGAGACGCGAAAGCGUGGGGAGCAAACA